rnacentral:rRNA from 1 species
GUGUGAUAAGGGGAUUCCAAGUGUGCAUAUACCAUAUGUACUUUUCUUUAGUUUAAAAUGCUAGAGGAAUAAGGGGUGGGUAAGACUAGUGCCAGCCGCCGCGGUAAAACUAGCAUCCCAAGUGGCAGUCACCAUUACUGGGCUUAAAGCGUCCGUAGCUUGUUUUGAAAGUCUCUGCUGAAAUCCUGCAGCUUAACUGUAGGGCUUGGCGGAGAAACUUCAAGACUUGAGGAUGGGAGAGGUCGGAGGUACUUCUGGGGUAGGGGUGAAAUCCUAUAAUCCUAGAAGGACCAACAGUGGCGAAGGCGUCCGACAUGAACAUGCCUGACAGUGAGGGACGAGAGCCAGGGUCGCGAAACGGAUUAGAUACCCGUGUAGUCCUGGCCGUAAACGAUGUUGACUAGGUGGGGCGUGAUCUUCGAGAUCAUGCUAUGCCGAAGGGAAACCGUUAAGUCAACCGCCUGGGGAGUACG